GACUAUUUCCAGUCUGUUCCAAACUCCCAUCAACAUUAUCAUAUUUCCGGUCCUGCUUCAAACUAUUGCAACUCAAGAUUUCAGCCAAGUGUAAUUGAAAAAAAAAAAAAGAAAAAAGGAGAUCACAUUGAGUGUGCAGGUACAUCUGAAAGGAUUUAGGCGAUAUUUCCAGAAUAUUUC
rnacentral:lncRNA from 1 species